rnacentral:lncRNA from 1 species
GGAUCGAUGAUCAUCACUAUUGAGAAGAUGGUAGAGAAGGUCCUUGCUAGUUGCUUAUAGCCGCACACAUAUCUGACCUCUACAAAAAAUUCACUCGAAGCUCCGAUCUGAUCGAUCUUUUCGAGAGUGCUAGCUCGUGCGAAGAUCUUCUUCUUGGCUGAUAUAGAUUUUUUCUUCAAAUUUUUUAAAUCUUUUUAGAGAUUGA